CCAAAAAGUGGAUAUAAUACUCGAACAGCCGGAAAGGUCCAGCAUCUCUGAGAAAUAAGUUCUGGUGGGCUAAUGCUCAAAUAUCUGAAACUGUUUUAGCAUAUAAGGACCACUCGCAAUCACAAGGAUAACAUCAACCUUAACAAAUCCUUACUCCAUGUUGGUAACAAAAACAUCAAGGAGGCAACAAACACUGCCAACAAAGGUACUUGAGAAGAACUACAACUAAGAUUCUUGGACGAAUGCAGCCACUCCGUUAGCUUAGAUAGCUUUCCUUGGUGCGACGACGUUGUCAGCCUACCAAAGGAGACAAUAUAUGCUUUAGGAGACACAG
rnacentral:lncRNA from 1 species